rnacentral:rRNA from 1 species
CUACGGGGUGCUCCAGUGAGGAAUUUUGCGCAAUGGGGGCAACCCUGACGCAGCAACGCCGCGUGAGUGAAGAAGGCCUUUGGGUCGUAAAGCUCUGUCGACAGGGAAGAAGUUAUCCAGGGUAAACAGCCUUGGGUAUUGACGGUACCUGUGGAGGAAGCAUCGGCUAACUCCGUGCCAGCAGCCGCGGUGAAUACGGGGGAUGCAAGCGUUAUUCGGAAUCAUUGGGCGUAAAGGGCACGCAGGCGGCCUUGCCAGUCAGAUGUGAAAGCCCGGGGCUCAACCCCGGACGUGCAUUUGAAACAGCAGGGCGUGAGUACGGUAGAGGAAAGCGGAAUUCCUGGUGUAGAGGUGAAAUUCGUAGAUAUCAGGAGGAACACCGGUGGCGAAGGCGGCUUUCUGGACCGAAACUGACGCUGAGGUGCGAAGGCGUGGGUAGCGAACAGGAUUAGAUACCCUUGUAGUC